UAGGGAAUCUUCGGCAAUGGACGGAAGUCUGACCGAGCAACGCCGCGUGAGUGAAGAAGGUUUUCGGAUCGUAAAGCUCUGUUGUAAGAGAAGAACGAGUGUGAGAGUGGAAAGUUCACACUGUGACGGUAUCUUACCAGAAAGGGACGGCUAACUACGUGCCAGCAGCCGCGGUAAUACGUAGGUCCCGAGCGUUGUCCGGAUUUAUUGGGCGUAAAGCGAGCGCAGGCGGUUAGAUAAGUCUGAAGUUAAAGGCUGUGGCUUAACCAUAGUACGCUUUGGAAACUGUUUAACUUGAGUGCAAGAAGGGAGAGUGGAAUUCCAUGUGUAGCGGUGAAAUGCGUAGAUAUAUGGAGGAACACCGGUGGCGAAAGCGGCUCUCUGGCUUGUAACUGACGCUGAGGCUCGAAAGCGUGGGGAGCAAACAGGAUUAGAUACCCUGGUAGUCCACGCCGUAAACGAUGAGUGCUAGGUGUUAGACCCUUUCCGGGGUUUAGUGCCGCAGCUAACGCAUUAAGCACUCCGCCUGGGGAGUACGACCGCAAGGUUG
rnacentral:rRNA from 1 species